GACGAACGCUGGCGGCGUGCCUAAUACAUGCAAGUCGAACGAGAGCGCCCGGUGCUUGCUCUGCUCAAUCUAGAGGCGUACGUGUGAGUAACGCGUGGGUAACCCGCCCAUCAGAGGGGGAUAACAUCCGGAAACGAAUGCUAAAACCGCAUACGUCUUCGAUCCGCGGGGCUGGAAGGGUCAAGGGGGCGCGGGCGUCUGCUGGUGCAUGCACCCGCGGUGCGUGAGCGAGUUGGUGAGGUAACGGCUCACCAAGGCCGUGAUGCAUAGCCGACGGGAGAGGGUGAUCGGCGACAUUGGGAGUGAGACACGGCCCAGACUCCUACGGGAGGCAGAAGUAGGGAAUCGUCGGAAAUGGGCGCAAGUCUGACCGAGCAACGCCGCGCGGGUGCAGAAGGUCUUCGGAUCGGAAAACUGUGUUGUUAGUGAAGAACGAGUGCUAGAGUAACUGUGAGCGUCUUGACGGUACCUAAACAGAAAGCAACGGCUAACUACGUG
rnacentral:rRNA from 1 species